UUCAGCCUUUCACUUGUUUAUUAAACAAAUGGUACCUCUGGGGCAUGCAGCACAAUCACCUAGAAACUUUUCCACUCCCCACCCAAAAAGUUACCAUCAUCUCCGCAGUUGGGCUUCCUAAUAGGGGACCGGAAAACACUCAGCAUGUGUCUGAGAUCCAUCCCCCGUUACUCACCACUGUCCUGUCUUAUGCCAGACCCUAUCCCAGGGCACUGCCCCUCUCUCACUCCAGUCAGAGUCAGCCUGGCAGGAGGUCAUGACUCAGUCUGGAGUGCAGAAUUGGGCACUCUCAGUCCUGUGCCUGAGGCAUGGCACAGCAGGGCCUUCUCGGUGACCAAGGGCAGAGGCACUUUCAGGACAUGCCUACCCCUCUGCCUUUUAACCUGAGGCAGCUUAGCUCCUGUCAAACUGUCAAAUUUCCUUCCCCAGGAUUUGCUUUCUUCCAUGCCCAUCUCACAGCAGUGAAAGAUAACAUAGCCAGAACCGCCAACAACAAGGGAACAAAGGAACAGACGCUAAAAGUCCAGGUGAAGCUCAGACUAGUCAUCUAACAAUUACAUGGAAAUAAGCAGCAGCCAGUAACAAGCACGGUAAGGGGCAGGGAUGUGUCUGCUGAGCACAGUUACCAUGCACACUUAGGACUCUGCAGAAUUAGGAGGCAGUGAGGGAAGAAAGACAAGUCUGGCCCUUGGCCUGAACAGUUGCUUUCACAUCCUGACCAUGUGGAUUUCCCUGUUAACUUCCCUGCAUGUGUAAAAUAGAAACAAUAUUUUGUGUUGUAUAUUGAGAAUCAAAUGAGGUAACAUAUGUAAAACACUUGAUACAAUGCCUAGCACAUAGUAGGCAGUUGUGUACAAAUAUUUGUUCUUUUACCUGAAUAUUAAUUGAUGAAUUAAUGAAUAAAUAUAUAGUAGAAAAGAAAUAAUUUACUUGAACAUGUUACAGACUGCUUCUAAUUAUUUUGUUCUUGAUGCUUUUAUUUGGAUCUGCCUAGGGGUAGAACAUUUGCCUCCAUUUUCUAGCUCCAAAGUUGCAUUCUGGAAAACAGUCUCUUUUUAUUUACUUUUCUUGUAAUUAGGGUACACUGCCACCAGGUGGCGGUGGCUGCUCUGAGCUCAUCACCAAACUUGAGACAUGAUUUGUCUUAUUAAUAGAUCCAGAUCCACCCAUGAAUUUUCUAGAUAUUAAUUUUUCAAAGAGCAAUAAAGGCUACAUGUGAUUGAUUAUAGUAUUCUAUUAAGUGAAGGAUUUUUUAAGAGGAGGGUGCUAAGCAAUUAUUCUCCCAUGAUUUUGAACAUAGCAUGAGAGGAUGUGGUUUUAAAUUUGAGCAUAAUAGAUGACAGAUACUAGGAAGAAGUGACUGACCCACAGGAUGAUAAAAUUUUAGUAUAAACUGUUAGGAGAAUCCGUGCAGAAGACAUUUGGGAGAUGUCCUAAGAGCCAAAAUAAACCCAGGGAAGCAGUGAAGGGAGAAAAUGCUAGAACAGGAAAUCAAGAAGCCAAGGUUUCCUCUUGGCUCUGCUUCUAAUACACCAUGAGACUUUGACCAGAUCAGCAAAUUUUCCUGUGCCUCAGUGUUCCUACUACUCCUGCAGAAGAGGAUGACAGAUUAAAUUAUCUCUUAGGGCCCCCAUGACCUCAGCUAACAUGAAUCUUACACCUUUUUCUGUUGCAUCUGCCUGAUCCUCUGUGGUGAUGACAACUGCACCCAGACCAGAAUCUCAGAAGGCUUGUUACAUUUCUGUGCAAUGAGAAGCCUGACAAUCCAUGGGGCAUGAAUGUGUUGGGGCUUGAGCAUGGCCCAAGACCCACGAUUCCCUACAGCCUCCCACAUAAUCCUGGAGCUGAGCCCACCCAGGCAGCACUCCUUUUCUGCACUCCUCACACUCCUGCCCUCACCCCCUGCCUAUUCAUAAGGUCCAUCCAGGUACUGUCUCUUCUUUCUCUAUGGCUACGUAAUUCCAGUGCCUGCUCUGGGGUCAGAGACAGGAGGCAUGACUGCUUAUCUAGAGUGCAUCUUGAAAGAAAUUGCAUGAAUGAGGCCACUCAUAAUCCUCACCUUAUUUUUAAAUUUUCCUUGCAUAGAAACUGUUAAAAAUUCCACCAAAUAUCCCCCAAACACCUAGCUCUCUCAUAUUGGCUAAUUUUCAAUGUCUGGGGGCCAGAGCAGAGCAUUCUUUUGGACUUAGUUCUUUUGGCAAACCAUGCCUUUCUAGAUAUGAGCAAGAAAGCAAGGCCUAAAAAGCCCCCAGCUAAGAAUGCCUUUCUUCUCCCUACUAGGGUGCAGCCCAGAGGGCACCCAGUCUCACCAGCCCUACCCCUUCCCUGCACCAACAAGGUGUAGUUGCCCCCUCCCUGCCAUCUCCCAGGACAGACAAGGGCAUUCCGCAAAGCAUCCUGGACUCAAUGGGAACCAUCUGAUGGUCAUCCUAGAGUUUCUAGAAACAACUUCUGCAUCCAUGUGAACCCAGCAGGAUGACAAUCAAGGAUUCUUUGACAAUAAACUGGAUUUUAAGACAUCCAUGUUUAAAAUUAAUUCCAACUUAAAAAAUAUUAACUUGUUUUUUUGUAACCAAAUAGAUAAGCUGAGGUUUCAAGAUAAAAUCAUGGAAUAGAGGGUAUACCUUUUAGUUCUGUAGUCCUUAAAAGAUUAGAUUAUUUUAAUCUUUUAAAGAGAAGAUUUACAAAUAGGCCCCAAUAUGCACCUGACGCACUGGUUGCUCGUAUUCUCCAGAGCUGGGUGAGGAUCAGUCUUUUAACUGCAGGGGACAUCUUGGCAGCCAGCCGCAUGAACAACUAGCUAUCAUCUUUUUACAAUAUCAACUCCAUGUGUCAAAGCUGAGAGUGAACAUGUUAAGAUAUGGAUAUUUGCUGAUGCAUAAUUUUAAAAUGUCAUCCAAGUCAACUAAAGUCACUUAUCUAAGCUUAUCAGAAUAUUAAAAUGAAAACCAAUAAUAGUAGUCUAUUCUAUUGACAGAAAAACAAUGUCUCCUUCCUUUAGACAAACUUAUUCCAGAUUAAUCACUAGGGAAUUAAAAAAGCAGGGGAGCUCCUAUUUCUUUUCCGGUCAAUGAAUUAACAGGAAGGAGAAAGUAAAUGUCAAAGUAGCUGCAAAAUGAAAGACCUUAAGUUUCCUAUCUUGAUUACAUUUAAGCUGAUUUGUAUUUGUUGUUAAUUUAUAGAGCCUGUGUAUCACAUCUAUAACUAAAAUACUAGUGCAUUUGUUAAAAUGUGCUUCUGUUGAAUGUAAAUAUUCAUAAUAUAUGAAUAUGUGAUUUUAACCAAAUACAAUAAUUUAAGUGUCUAUUAUUUCUGUUAUCCGUUAUUUACCUAAUGAAGUGUAGUUUUUAAAACUUCACCAAAUUAUAUAUCACGUCAUGUAUACUUGUUACACUGAAGAUGGUUUGGCCUCUUAAUUUAUAAAUAUCUGCUUCAAUUUGUGUUAAUACAUUAAAUUUCUAAAAGAUUACUAUAUUUUCAGGUACAAAAUUAAAACUAGAAAAUUAAGCAAUUCUUUAAAUGCACCCUGCAAAAACUGCAUCUGAUUUAUGGAAAACAAGGAGUUUAAAUCCAUCAUUAAACAAUUUUUUAAUUGAGAAAACUGAGUAUAAUAGGUGUUUAAAUCAUGCCUUGCAUUGACUGUUGCUGUCAAAUCAGUCUGAGAAUAAUGGAAUCUAAUUGUGCCUUGAAGGGAUGCUCAGUGUGUCCACCGUGGCCACAUGGGACUGGAUGGCUGUGCCCAGCCAGAUGCCCCAUGGACAGCUCUCCAUGAGGGAGGGCCCAUCCUCUCCCUCUCUCCAGAUACCCUUUGCCUUCACUUCUGCCGUCAAAUGGAGUGUCCACAGAAGGCACAAACUACUGACUGUGAUACAGCCUUUCACUAAAACCUUAUUUAUGAAGAAGCUUGCUGACUCUUGGUAGUGUGCCAGUCAUUUCUAUGUUUGGACCAAAUGAGCUCCCAUGCCUGAAGCCUCCAAUCUAUGACCAAAGGAGCCCACAGGGCAAGGAGACAGGAGCCCUGGGAUACUGGUGAAGGAAACGACAAUGUGGGGUCAAGAAUGAAUGGAGCCCUGGGAGCCCCAGAAAUCUUGACAUCCCUUUUCUGCUCACUUCCCCAGACCUCCUCCUCCCCACUCAGGCUAUUCCCUUCACAGAGACACCCUCAAGGAUCAGGGGUCUUUCCUCUCACUGCCAACUCCAAUGUAUGUCCCACCUGGCUUGAUAAAUCAGAUGCUGGAAUAGGCUUUGGAGCCAGACUACUCCGGGCCGGAAUUUUGGCUCCUGCUUUUUUUACUUGCCUUGAGCAAAUCACUUCACCUCUCUGGGCUUCCAGGUCCUUAUCUAUAACUAGGGGAGCAGGGUUGUGGUCAAGAUUCAAAACAAUGCAAGUAAAGGCACUGGCACCGUGCCUGGAUGCACCAUCCGCAUCAGUAAAUGUCAUGUUCACAUGUGCAUAUGCCUGUGUUCCUCACUACCAACCCCUCCACAGGGAUGAAAGUAGCAAUCACGUGGGCUGGAAUACAGAAUCUACUACCAUUAAAUGCUGUCCAGCUCAGGGCAGGCAAGGGGUCUCCAGUGUUCUGACUCCAGUCCCACUGGGAUGGAGCUUGUUUCUCUGGAGUUUCCACCACCUCCAACGCUGCAUGCCAGCAUUUCUCACCUCAGGCAACAGCUCUGCUAAAGCACUACAAUUAGGAGUGACACACCUGCUCAGAUGUUAACACAGCUACUCCUGCAGUUACCUGGCCUCUGACAGAAUUGAGAACCUGAUUCCCAGACGCCUUGUGGAAGCCAAGAAAGAGACUGCCAACCCAUUACACCACAGGUCCAGCCAACUAUGAGAGUGCGCCUCUAAAUUACCCCCUGUUCACUGGACUGAGGAAGUAGCAUUUGUUUUUAUUUUCCAGGACAGACAGUCAAUCACUCAUAGGUGGCGGAAAUAAAGAUAAAUACUACCCAUUGAACUUUAAAUCAAAAUGCUAAUCCCAGGCUGACUUCUCUGUCAAGGUCUGACACUGAAAUAAUUCAGCAGGCUUUGAUUAUGCCCAAAAUUAAUGCUCUGGUGGAGAUUAUGUCUAUUAAUCACAGAUUCUGAUGGCAUAGCUGCUCAUAUUCAUCUGCUGGUGACAUCCAACACUGUUCUGAUGGCCAGGAGACCUUCACUUGGAUGUCCUCAACUUACGGAUUACAAGCCAACCUCCAACGAGGAGUAUGAGCCACAGGAUCAUAGGGUCAUCUAAGAAGUAGCUGGAGGGGGCCAUGUCCUGAACAUAAAAAGAUGUCAAAGCAUUGUUCUGUCUUUGCUAAGGACCAAGCAACAGGAACUUGGGCUGGCCAACAUGAGUCCCACAAAAGACCCAAGGGUGGCCCCUGGGGAUGAGACCCAGCUGUGAUGUCACACUGCAGACAAGACCAAACAGCCAGCAGUCAUAUUCCAAAAGACUAUCCGGAGUCAGUAGUUUGUUUUGUGUGAGGGGGAACAAUUUUUCUUAACUCUGGAGGUCUACUAGAGGGGAGAGUUAGGAAUCCAGAUCAGAAGAUCACAUGUGCGUUUGAUCUCCAAACUGCUGCACUCCUGAAAUCUCCCCUCAAUAUGACCUCUCCUGCAACAAAUAUGUAUUUAUCACUUACUAUUUACCAGGCUCUAUUCUAGGCAUUUGGGAUAUGUCUGAACAAAACAGAUCAAGGUCCUUGUUAUGGGCUUGCAUUCCAAGGAGUUUCAAAAUCCCCCUGGUCCCUGGACCUUCUCACCUCCUGCCUAGAUAGUCUUCCUCCCUGCUCUCUAGUUGGUCUAGUUAGUCUUUUUUUCCACCACACCCCAUCUUAGCUGCCUCCCCUCCACCACCCAAGUGUUAGGGCAGCUUUCUUAAAGGUAAAUUUGCCUAAAACCCUUUAGUGGCUUCCCUGCCUAAGGUUGAGAAACCAUCCUCUUAUCAUGCUCUGGGGGCCUCCGCAACUAUCUCUGCUUAUUCCUCUACACUCAACUCAGUCCACUCCCCUUACAGCACACAGUGCUCUAGAAAUACAGGGCAGACAGUAGAAUCUCAGCACACACCAUGCUGGGUGACCCUCUGCCCUUCUGUUGGCUGGUCACUUGCCAGGCACGCCCUUUAUCCUUCAUCCCUGCCCUUCACCUCCUCAUGCCUGGAGACUCAGCCUCACAGGCAGCUCCUCCAGACACCCUCAGGCCUGGCCGGGCCCCACCCUGGGGCCCCACAGUAUACUCUGCCUCCUUCAGUCCUGGCACCCAUCACACUGAAUUGUCAUCACCUGCUCAUUUGCUCGCUGCUCUUAUCUCCCAAGAGACUGAACUCCAUUUAGUCUGAAACAAUGCUUUACACAUUUUGUAGUCCCAGCAGUGUCUGGAACAUAUUAGGUGCUCAAUGAAAGUUUACUAUCCUGAACCAAUCAUGCCAUAAAACCUAACCACCCUUUAGUACAUUGUUUCCAUGGGAAAAUUGUGUUCCAAGUGCUGCCUGGCCUGUCGGGGACACAGCUCACCCACUUACAGUCCUAAUGACAAGAACAUGAGUUCAUCCAGCACACUCUAUCCUGCGCAGUCUUUCUCAUCAAAGCAGAGGGCCUGGGGACGGGGGGCAGGGUCACAGGGUCAGUGUUGCACCCCCGGCAGACCAAAGCUAAGGAGUCUAGGUGGAUUCGUCCCUAAGGCCUCACUUAUGGGGGCGCUGAGAGUCCCAUGGGACCCCAGGAUGGCUUUUGCCUGAUGUUGACUCAUGGUCUCUAGGACAUUAUCCCUGAAGUUGAGCACACAGGGCUGGGAUCAGGUCACCAAGGGCAUGCACUCCUGAAACUCAGACUUCCACCUGCAAAUAUUCAAGACUCUUCUUCUCCAACCAGAAAAAAAUUCAUUUAUAAAGCACUUUUUAAAAAACAGCAUUACUGGUCAUUGCUAAGACCUAACCAAUACCAGUACCUUCUAAAAGUGAAAAUCACAUGAACUAUGAGUGAUUGAACACAACAUUAAAUACACUGAAUUGCAGGGUUAGAAAUUUGUCUCCUUUUCAAUUAUUUAUGGUUCUCUGAUUAAGACAGAAGAAAGUUUCAGCUGGAGACUUGUAUAUCAUUAGCUGUUCUCUACCACUUGCUAAUUUCAUUUUUAAGGAAUUGAGAGCCGGUUUCAGACUCAGUCAAAAGUUAGAGUUUGAUGACAUCAACUUCAUUGUCCACAUGUUUAUUGUCACUUUCAAUUUGUGAUAAGUGAGAUUGUUUUCCAUUGACAAUGAUGGAAUCAAGUUUCCUUCUAAAAAUACAGGUAUUUAAGGUUUUCAGUGAAUUAAGGAAAAAUAUUCCAGAAUAAUGGUACAGUUUGUAUGUGGGUAAGGGGGAACUCAUAGCAGUGAUACUUGGAUGACUGAAGCCAGAAGAGGAACCGCCAUGAACAGGUCUCGGGGUGGUGCAAGGACCCAGACACCUCACUUGAACGUUUGGAAGUUUAGUUGCCUCAUGAUCUGUCCCAGAUUUCUUCUCAGUUCUGUUUGCCAUUGCCUUGCUCCCAGCCUGGCUUUGGCUCCAUUCUGUGAGGUUUUUGGUUACUGUCACAAAUGCCCUUGUGCACCCCUGUUGAAGGCCCUCUACAGCCUGCCCAGCUCUGUCUUGCAUGUUGAUGUUGGGUUGUCAGAUUCAGCAGGCCAACAAACAACAGGACACCCAGUCAAAUUUGAAUUCCUGAUAAACAAUGAAUAAUUUUCUUAGAAUAAGUAUGCCUCAAAUAUCGCAUGCAAUAUGUCAAUGUGUGUCCCACACAAUAUUUUGUGCUUAAAAUACCUAAAAGUAAAAAGUAUCUAUUGCUUACUUGGAAUUCAGAUUUAGUGGGCAAUCCUGCCCCACCCUGCCAUGACUCGGAACAAUGCCGCUCUCACAAGACGUUGGCACAACUGGACAAUUUCUGAAAGCAUCAUUGAUAUUUUUCUUUUUCAGAGUAGCAGCCCCACAUUCUCUCAAGCAUAUCAUAGAAAUAUCCAAACAGGUUCAGUUCUCCCUCAAUAGGGUUGAACCAAGGAAGAAUAUAUAAUCUCCUCUUUGAGAAAUCAGAAAAUCUCAGAAGCAUGUAUUGCUUCUGUAACCAGAGGAAAGGGCAAUAAAUGUUAUAAAACAGGGGACAAAAAGCUACUGGGCCAAGCCACAAUGGCCUGAAGGCAGGGAAAGUAGCCGUCUUUCCAUUUGUUGAGAAGCAAUGUUUAGGAAAGUGAAGGGAUCAAGAGUCAGCCUAACCACAGGGGGGAAAAGGUCUUUGAGGACAUGGCGGCAGCUUGUGGGAACUUCUAUGGAGAUGUUUGAAGGGAAGGAGGAGGCAUCCAAGGGAUGGGAUAGGCAGAAGCAAACUUCUAUUACUUUUUUGGAAUCAGAUAGGGCAGAAAGGUCCCUAAAUUUUGGGAACUUGAGGAAAGAAAGCUGGAGAAAGUGCGGAUGAGAAAGGGUGAAAGGCCAUGGCCCAAGAGUAUCUGCAGGUUCCUAAGUCUGCCCAGCUGUGGGAUUGGGCAGCUGUUCUAGAAUUGUGGGAUCAGAAUCCUGCUCAACAGGCCACAGCUCCCUUUGUGGGAAUCUGUAAUGCUGUGGGUCCACUCCUGGCCUCCCAGCUGCCCUCCUCUGCUCCAAGACAGGUUAGAGGCCACACUUGCAAGUGUUUUCAGAAAUCUGGGAAGCAAUUUGCCAGGGGCAGGACACUGGGUCCUAGUUAUACUAAUGAAUGGCCCCCUUAUGAUUCAUCUUCUCACCAGAGACUAUUCUGGAAUUUCUUUAUUGGAAGGGUUUAGGGGAAGCACUCUGGUUAGACGGAAGAUGCUAGAAGCUACAUAUUCCUGGGAGUUUGCAUGACAGUAGGAAGUCAUUGUCCAUUUCAAGAAUAGAGAGAAAGCUGACGGAGGGUAGGAGGAGUUUAAAAUCCCUUCCUCAAGGCCCUUGCUGAGGUUUCCACUUGGCAUUCAUCAUCCAGGGCUUCUACCCUUUCUUUAUUCAGCCUGUAGCACUCUUGUAUCAAGGACAAAGGUGUCAGACUCUCCAGGGCAGAAGGCAUUUCAGCAUCUUAUGGCCCACCAGACACCAGCCGGGAGGGCAAGGUUGCAUCUGUGGCCCAAGGGCAGACAGAGGUCAGGCCAGAAGGGAACCCUUGAACAUGGUCAUGCCCAUCAGCCUGCCAAGGACUCCCAGAACACUCUCCUACACAUGUUACGUUUUUGAGAGGAAAAAAUAAUAAGCACCCCCUUCCGAGGAAAGCUCAUGCUUUUUGCUAGUGGCUUCAACCAUGCUGCCUUUCUCUGAGUGCUUCCCUCACCUGCCGUGCUCCUCGGCCCAGACCCCCAUCUCCAGAUCAAAAUUCCCCAAAGCUCCCUGCAAAACUCCCCCACCAUCCUCAGGACAAUGUGCACGUAUGUUAAUAAAAAUUAAAAUUUUAAUUUAAAAUAUUUUUAAAGAUAAAAGAGAUCAGAAGAAAUAUCAUUUUGCAAUAAAGGCAAUAGGAAAAUUAGCGAAAUAUGACAUGCUACAGGUGAGAUAGCACUAUAAUAGUAUCGUAUGUGUGUUAAUUCCCUGAUUUUGAUUAUUGUACUGUGGCUAGGUUAAGAGUUUUUAUUGCUUUUAGGAAACAGACACUAAAGUAAUUAGGAGUAAAUGGGCAUAUGUCUGCAACUUAUUGUCAAUCAAUUCUGAAAAGAACAAUUAUACGUAUAUGUGGCACAUAUGUGUGCAGGGGAGGAAUGAGCACAAUGUGGUAAAAUGCUAACGCUGGAGAAAUGCAGGUGAAGGGCUGUAUUAGCUUCCCGGGGCUGCUGUAACAAAGUACCACCAACUGGUGACUUUCACAGCAGAGACUUAUCUCACAGUUCUGGAGGCAGAAAUCUGAAAUGACGGUGUUGGCAGGGUUGGUUCUUUCUGAGGGCUGUGAGGCAGAAUCUGUUCCAGGCCUCUCUCCUAGCUUCCGAUGGUUUGCUGGCAAUCUUUGGUGUUCUUUGGCUCACAGACACAUCACUCUGAUCUCUGCUGUCAUGUUCUCAUGGCACGCUCCCUGUGUGCAUGUCUGUGUCCAAAUUUCCCCUUUUUACAAGGACACCAGUCAUGCUGGAAUAGGGACCUAUCCUAUUCCAGUAUGACCUCAUCUUAAUUUAACUGCCUAUUCUACAUGGACCCUAUUUCCAAAUAAGGGCACAUUCUGAAGUUCUGGAGAUUAAGAUUUUAACAUACCUUUUUAGGGAGACACAAUUCAAUCUUUAAUAAGAAUAUACUGGAGUUGUUUGUAAUAUACUUAAAACUUUUCUCUAGGUCUGAAAUUAUUUCAAAAUAAAAAGUUUUUUGCAAAGAUAAACAGAAAGAAGCUCUAAGAAGGAUUGAAGGGAAGGUGUGAAGGGGAGGAAAGAAUUAUUGAGGGGAUGCCUUCUCAGAGACGCAGGGUUCUAAAAUCCCACCAGCAAGACAGCUUUUGAGAGGUACCGAGUUGCCUUCUCCUGAUAGGUCCUCAUGGCCCCAGGACAAAGAGAGUCCUCCACUCAACCACCCCCACCCCCAAAGUCUUACCUUGGAGAGGAAACUCUCAUGAUUUGGGUUGAAAACAUGAAUUUAUUUUUUUCCCUCCAAAACAAGCUUGGAGCAGAGCACACUUGCCCAGCAUCUCAAUAGAUGCUAGUGGUGGUUAAUUAAAAGAAUGUUGCUAAACAAAGACAGCUAAAUAAUUGUGUGUCUCACAGAAUUUUAUUCCUUAACUUGUACCUCUUAAAAAUAGCACACUCCAUAUGAGAGUUUUCCUUUUAUUCAAAUCCUGUCUGAGAAACAGUGCAUUUAUACAGCAGUACUUCAUCUACUCAGAGAAGGAAGGAGCCCCAGGAAUUGGUUAGCAUUCCCCAAAAUAGGGUAUGACCUGGGUGAUCAGAGGGCCCCAACCCUGCCAGCCUCCUCCAGCUCAUGUCUCAGCCACUCAGACCUCCUCCUUUAUCACAUCCAGGGACAGCACCCUGCAGAUACAGGAAAUCUUGGGGUGGCAUCUUUUUAACUAGGAACUUUUCAUAUUUGAGAAGCAUCACCAAACCAAUCCAGGUGUCUAUGCCCUGAUUUGGUGCCCAUACAUGCCCAGGACUUCACUGAGCAUCUCCAGGAAGCACCAUUAGAACCUUUCCCUGGCCUGCAGCCUCCUUCAAUCCCCAAGUGUCCCUCAAAGGGCCAUUCUCCAUCCUCCAUCCUUGCCAGUCACUCCCGAUCAACUGCAGAGAAUGGAAAUAGCACUAGGCAGAACAUCAGGUAGGGUCUUCACUUCUAGCUGUGCCCCAAACUCACUGCCUGACCCUGGGGCAGUAAUUCAGCCACUUGGGAUCCCAGGUUCCUGAUCUAUAAAAUGAUAGAUCGAGGCAGAUGCUAGGAAUUAACACAUAUUUUUCAAGUGUAGUGGCUCAACUAGGGACUAGGAUCCAAGAAAGUUCUAACUAACCAGGAAAACAGCAAAAGGACAGUCUCUCAGCCUAAAAUGCUCCAUUUUUUCUCAUCCCACUUGAGAAGCUGUGAGAACUAUGCCAAACUUCUCAUUACACUAUAGUCAAAGCCUAUUAAGACUCCAUGAUCUUUUUUUGUUCCUACUCACACAGUGUUGGUUUUACCUACAUCCUUUGCUGCAGUGAUUUUCACUAACCCUUCACCAAAAGCCCCAAACGCCAAACACGUGAAUUUUGCACAUUUAUUCCUACUUCGUGGAAACUAUCCAAUGGGCCACCUUCCCUCAAUGGGGCACCACAAAAGAGAAGGCAGGAGUCCAUAGCACAGGAUCUCAAAGAAGGAAGCCACCCGUGGACCAGGCAGUCCAGAAGGCUUCCUCAGUUCAGGAAAGUUUGAAAUAGGCCAAAGGGUACAGAAGGGUUCAGAUGGAAAGGGUGAAAAGUGAGGGCAGAAAAAAAAGCAUAAGCAAAGAGAUGCUGGUGAGGAGAGUGGAUUGCCCAUCUGAGGAGCAGCCCAGCAAGACAAUGAGGAUGCCAGGCAGAGAGGCGGGCAAUGCAGGGGGUAUGAAUGAAAGGCUUUGCAGGUCGGUUUCUGCCAGCCAGCACCCACUCACCCUACUUUUCCUAACUGUGUACUCUUGAUCUGCAAUUUCACCCCUCCCCAUUCUCAGUCUCUCCCUUUAAAGUGCCGCCUCCAACCCAGCUCCCCAGUGGAAGGAGCAAUCUAGGCCAAACAGUGAAUUCUAUCCCCUACACAUGUGGACUGGUUGAGAACUAAACAUGCUACACACCGAAACUGGGAUCAAUCAGAAUGACCCUCAGGACUUGUGCAGGAACUACCAAGAAAUUAGUCUCCCUGUUUCUGCUGUAGUCAGAACAUAAAUCUGAUGACCAUGAUGGGAGAGCUUUAGGCUAACCCAGAAGAAGUGGGGCUGAAGACAGAGGAACAGUCCCAAUAGCAUCUUAAAUGCAGUCAUGCCCGAAACUAGUAUUGCACAGUACUUUCAAUCACAGAAGCCCAUAAGGAGUGUGUGUGUGUGUGUGUGUGUGUGUGUGUGCGCGCGCGCACAUCUGUUGAUUUUGUUUCCUGUCACUCAAAACCAAAAUAAUUGUAAUGGGAAGCUUAGAUUAUAGAGAAGAAGAAGCACUAGACUAAGGCGUUAGAGAAACCUGGCCAGAUCCCAGCAUUACCAUAUAGUAAUUGUGUGAAUUUGUAAGUAAGCCACUUAGGUUCCACAAACCUCCAUCUCCUCAUCUUUAAAAUGGGCAUAAUAAUUCAUGAGUUGACUCAUGUGAAAGUGCAAGCUCCUUGAGUAAUGGAAUCUGUGGUGUUUGUACUUGAUGCAGGAGAUGCUGCAGCAUUCUGAGCAGAGAACUCACUGAAGGGAAAAUUAUUCCAGGCCCUGUACAGGCAGGAUGGGGCCAAUGAUCCCUGCCACCCAGGGAACCCAUUGCAUGCACUAUGCUAUCCAGGUUGAAAAGCGGUAAAAUACCCCAUGGAUGUUGCGUCAGAUGUUCAGAGAAGAGAGGUGAAGCAUCUUUCACACUGUGUACCGUGCUCACCAGGGCACGCUGAAUAAGAAGUCACCUAUGCCACCCUGGCCUUUCCCCCUACAAAACAGAAAGAUGACUCUUACCCUCUUCCCUCGGGAACAGGACAAGGAUUAACUAUGAGCUCUACAAACUACUUUGUACUCCCUGUGGAAAAGCUGCUAUAUAGCUACAAGGGGAUGAUUAAUUUUAUCUCUCUCAAUGUCUCGGUAUCAUUUGCCAAAAUGAUGAUUUAUUAUUUAGACAACCUUUAUAUUUCCAAGGGGCUUUAAAAAUCAUUUAUAGUGGAGAAUGAAAUAAAACUGAUUAGGGCCCUGAAAAACAGGAAUGGUGAAGAAAUGUACAAGGAACUGGAGGUUAUUUAUUCACAACCAGAGAAGGCAAAUGAAGGACACAGCAAGAUCCAUCGAUUGUAUGCAAAGCAGAACUGCUAAGGAGAGGCCCAUAUCUUCCCCCAUAUGAUGAUGGGAAAGAGAAACUGGAAAAGACAGCAAUGCAUCUGGACUGGUGUAGGCUAGACAUCAAGCAGAUAACAGGAAGAGCUUCCUAACUGUAUACUAGCUCUUAGCUCAGCAUCUGAAAAACAUUUUCAAUUGCUUUUUUUUUUUUUUUGAGACGGAAUCUCACUCUGUCAUCCAGGCUGGAGUGCAGUGGCACAAUCUCAGCUCACUGCAACCUCCACCUCCCGGAUUCAAGCAAUUCUCCUGCCUCAGCCUCCAGAGUAGCUGGGAUUACAGGUAUGCACCACCACACUUGGCUGAUUUUUUUUGUUGUAUUUUUAGUAGAGACGGGGUUUCACUGUAUUGGCCAGGCUGGUCUCAAACUCCUGACCUCGUGAUCCACCUGCCUCAGCCUCCCAAAGUGCUGAGAUUACAGGCGUGAGCCACCACACCCGGCCUCAGUUGCCUUUUAUAGAUGAUAGCUGAAGUGAAACAAAAUGUAGAAAGACAAUGCAGGUAUGGUAAAGGAAAGGCAUCUUCAAGGAAUGAUAAAAGAUGAGAAAGAUAGUAGAAAACUGGGAGGGGGAAAUUUAAUCCUUCUUUCAGGAAGAAAAGGAUCAUGAAAGGAUGCCAUGAGCCAAACCGUGGUGGAUGAAGGAGAUUAGAGUAUACUAAUAUGCAGAGAAAGCAUAGAAAGCUCCUAGAGGCAACAUGGGUUGAGUAAGAAUAAGCCCCACCAAACCUACUCCCUUUCCUUCUUGAAAAUUUCCCUAGGACACAAGAUCAUGGUGUACCUAGAUUUCAGCAAAGCACUUGCUGAAAUGGACCAUAUGGAGAACCGCAGGCCAGGGCAAGUACAAACUGGUGAAUUCACAGCUGGCAGAAAAAUGGUACCCAAAGAGGGUCCAACAGAAGCAGCAUCCCCUGUGGGAUAUUACUUCUGUCCUCUUUGGCAUUUUUAUCAGGCUUGGAUGAAACCCUGCAAGGGACACUCAUUCAAUCUCAAUUGCUGGGAUGCUUGGCUAAACCCAACCGGAUGAAAUGAACAGUUCUGCACACUUAGGUUCAAAACCAUCCCAUCAGCGCUACAAUAGACCUGGCCUGAUUGACAUUUAGAUGUCGUCAAACUGAAGACCAACUGCCAAGCUUCUAAAACUGACAGACAGAUGAUCGUAACAUCUCCAACCUGCCUUUUUUAGAGCAGGAUUCACCAAGAGGCAGGCCUGCAUUGGCCAUCCCCUUCCCAUUAUAGAGGUCUUCAGUCACAUGCCAGGACUGUGACCACUGACCCUGGACCUGUCUGGGUUUUAUCUUAUAUAGCAAAUUCAAGGAACUGCUUGUGUUCCCGUUAUCUAUUGAGUGUAACAAAUUACCCGCGAAAUGUACUGGCUUGAGACAGUAAUGUUUUAUUAGCUCUUAUAGUCCUGCAGGUUGGCUGGGCCCAACUGGAUAGCCCUCACUUGGGGUGGCUCAGGAGGUUGCAGUCAGAUGUUGGCAGGAGCUACAGUCAUCCAAAGCCUCUACUACUGCUUGAUGCCAAAAUGGUCCACUCACAUGGCUGGCAGUUGGUGCUGGCUGUCAGCUGGAAGCUCACCUUGGGCUGUCAAUUGAAGUACCCAUACAUGGCCCAUCCAUGCAUCUUACAACAUAGCAACUAGGUUCCCAGAGUGAGCGUUCUAACAGCUGGAGUCCCUAGAGAUCCAGGUAAAAGCUGUGAGGCUGCUUCUGACCUAGCUUUAAGAGUCCCAGACCAUCACCUCUGCCACAUUUUACUGGUCAAGCAAGUCAUCAAGUCCAAUCCAUAUUUAAGGGGAGGAAAGUUCGACUCUAGGUUGGCAAGUUCCCAUCGCCAAAGAGCUUGUUGGAUGGGAGAUAUCUGCUGUAGCAUCUUUGAAAAAUAUAACUGGCCUCUGCUUUUGACAACAGGGAGCAAUGUGAUGAGAAGGAUUCCAAUUAGCAAAAGUAUUGUCAUCAGCUGGUGAUGUGCUGCUGUGCGUCACACCCUAGGAACCCAGACCUAGGCCCUUCAAACCCAGUGUGCACCAACUGGCACUGUGCCCAGCAUAGUCAACAUCGAGUUUCUGCCUCCCAUUCUCCUUCCAGGGACCCACAUGCCUCCCAGUACUUCAGCCCCGACUGGCUCCGCCUCAUUGUCAUCUCCACCCUGACAUGCCGUAUCAAUGGGAAUUAACAGCCUCACCAUGCUGGGCACACAAGAAACUACCACUUAGUCAAUUGCAAGAGCUAGGAUUACCAAAAAAAAAAAAAAAAAGGCAUUAUCCUUUUUGUAAACAUUCAGAGAAAACUCAGAGAAAUCGUAUUUGUUUUUGAUUAUUCUAAGUUUACAAGCUGAAGCAUUCAUGGUUCGUAAAACCCAUGUAUUUGUUCCAAAUGUCAGUGUGCUUCCCUUUGUGCAGCAGCAGAUGCUGGGCAGGGAGAGGGCUGAUGCAAGGCCUUCUGCAUCUGUGCUAAUAGAUCAUGCCUUACAGCCUCCCCACCUUGGCUCACCAUUUCCCUGCUUUCUUCUCACUCUGCUGUUGCAGGCAUCUGUGACAUCAUAGCCGGUUGCCAUGGAAACUGAUGCUAUCACAGACUUCUAACUUUAGGCAAUAAAAUUUCCUUGUAUUGACAAUUUCCUGAGUGGACAUCAGCAUGGAUCUUCACGUGUACGAAGGAGAGUGGAAAACUUACCAGCUUCCUGAAUAUUUACUGAGAUCUGCAUGGCUAAUUGCCUCAUGGGAAGAGUAGAAAGAAACCUGGCUGGACCUAGAAGACACUCUGGUGUUACCCUGCCAAGCUGGGCCUUGGUUUUCCUAUCUGUCAAAUGGAAAUGAUAGUGCUUAGCCUUUGGAGUUGUUGCGAGGGGUACAUGAGAGUUUCCUGUUACGGAGCCUGAGGGGAGGCAGGUGCUCACCAGGCAGGCCUUCCUUCCCCAAGACCCCUAGACCUUAAACUUUAAGAGUUUGUGUGAUCUGUUUCAGCAUGACCCCUGGCAGACAUUAGGGUGUGGGAAUGAGAGUAACUGAGGGGACCACGAUGACAUGGACUUUGCUCCCCUCAUUGUCACCUCCCUCUUUCUCCUGUCCUUCUGUUUUCACUGUCCACUGCUCCUGCGAUCUGCCAGCUAAGCUAGUUCUACCUAGAAAGGGCUUCUCUCUAAACUGACUUCCUCCAUUAAGGAGGCAGUUGAGUCGUUACUCAAGUUCACACCUUCUUCUGAGUGAUUUAAUGGCUUUUAAGCAAAAGCAAUUAUCUGAGAGGCCUCAGGCCCAAGGGAAAGCCAGUGGAGCUUUUAAACCAGGGUCUGGGCUCUUGGAAUGUGCAGGGAAUGAGUAGAUUGGGUGGUCCUGUAGUCCUGUGGUCCUGAGGGGUCACGUACCCCUCGCAACAACUCCAAAGGCUAAGCAUUAUCAUUUCCAUUUUAUAAAUAGGAAAAUUACUUCUGCCUCCAUUUUCACCAGAUCUGAGGCAAGGUUGCAGGCCUUGCCAGUCACCCACACCUGAUCCCUGUGUGAACUGCCUGGGUUCGUUUAUGCCAAGCCAAAGCUACAAUCUGCUACCCCAACUCCCACAAGCAAUCCCAGCAUUUCUGAGAAAGACACAAAUCUCUUCCAAGCCUGCCUUCCUUCAGACAGAACUACACCAUUAGCACUCAUGAUUCUCAGGCCCUCAGAUGUGGACUGGAACUACCCAUCAGCUCUCCUGGGUCUCCAGCUUGCCAAUUCACCCUGCAGAUCCUGAGACUUGCCUGCCUUCAAAAUUAUCAUUGGGAACAGCAGGUGCAAACGUUCCGGGGCAGGAGGAAGCAUGGAGAGUUUCAAGAAAAGAGAAGGCAGCUUGGGGCCGAGUGGUGGGAGUGUACACUGUAGGUAACCCAGAC